UUUUUUACUGUGCUCCGCCGACUAAAAGCAAAAAACACUGGGAUAACGUGGGGUUAUCCCUAUUAUCUGAAGGGACCUAUUCUAUUUCGUAUGUAGGCUAUUUUGUGAAUUGCAAACCAACCAACAGCUGCGUAGUGAAUUCUUCAGCGAAAGUUGCAUGGAGACACAAGGGCGAGAGAAGGCUACGAAGAGCUGAGCGAGAGCAGGCGCAAUCAAAUAUCGAUAAUAAUAUAUGAAAAGAAGGAGUGAGAGAGAUAUUAGUGGAGUAAAGUACUGUGUUUUGAGAUACGGGGAGGGGGCUCUUGUGCAGAGUUGGAGAGGCAAAAUAAUGUACAUUACAUGCACUACACGUAACGUCCCUGAGCGAUGCCUUUGUGAGUGUUUUUCCCCCCUUACUGCAACCUAAAAAUAGCAGCAGGGUUUGAUCCUGCGCCAGAAAUAGACGGAGGGUAUCACUUGUAUAAAAAGGAAGGCGACCCUGAGAAAACUUGGACGUGCCAUGAUUAAGGCUAUAUGAACCAUGGGACUGAAUAUUUGUUAAUAUCCCAUUUAAUUUGCCUCUGUUUCUGUAAAACAUGUUUAUGUAUGAAUUCUAAAUGCAUAUAUUUCUCUUUCCCUCGUUUCAGCAAGUGGUCCCUGCUAUGGUGAGGGAAGAAGUAGGCACGAUAACUUGAAGGCGAAGGGCUCGAAAGUUCGUUCCCCACGCCAUGUGACAUCCUGGCCAGAAACGUCAACUCGAUUGGGAUUUCAUCAUCUCCAUUGAGAAAGGGAGCCAGCCUAUCACCCGUGGACCACUAAAAUCACCACCUCUUGGUCCUCUCUCGUGUUCAGCACAAGUUUAUCAGCCGUAUGUACAGGAUACACAUGGUAUAUACACCGUAUGCACAGGAUGCACAUGGUAUAUACACCGUAUGUACAGGAUACACAUGGGCCUUCCUGACUGUGUGACAGAGGGAGUCCUGAGUAAUGUUAUGAUGCCCUACUGCCCCCACCUCUUCCCGGCUGCUUCUGAGUAAGGAGAAGUGUGUGUGUGUCCUCUCACCUGGCAUUCCAAUGAACCUGGACCAAGCCUGAUACACACCUGUCACUCUCCCAACAGAAGAAAACAGUCACAGAUGUUCAUGGUGGGGUCUGAGAUCAGUGUGAACAACUACAAAUGCAACUCGUACAGAUGGACGUAACAUAUGAAGUGUGCUGAAUAUAUCAAUGUAUUUAUAUCCUAUUUGUACAUAUGGAAUUGUUGUAUUCAUUUGAUACGUAGAACGUCUCUUUUAUGCACCUUCAUAGGAUCUCAAAUGCUGAAAGAUCCUGUCAAAAUACAUGCUUGUUGUACAUAUUUGCCUCUUUACUGUCUUUAAUUUAUAGAUUAAUUCUGAUGGACCUUUAUAAGAUAACAACACUAUAGUUGGUCAAGUUGAUUUACAUCAUAUUCAUAAGCCUGGUCAUCUAAGCAGGAUGAAAAUAAUAGGCUAAGUCUUAAUUAAUAACCCAUUUUUGAGUAAUAGCCUAUCAUGUUAAGAGAUAUGCAUGUAAGAAUAUAUGUUUGGUGAUAUGUCAAAUAGGCUACAAAAGGGAGUUAGUUAUAAACUGCUGAAAAGCCAGUUCACCCAAUCCAUAUAGGCUCCAUCUGUCACGUAUAUUUCGGUAUCUUCACUUCUGUCAAAAAAUGCAAAUAAUUGCAUGAUGAUUUCUCAAAAGUCAAUCGAUUUUCCUAACAAGCAAAUGUUGAUGAGUACAUUACACAUGUCAGUUAUACUCAGGCAGUGCUGGUUUGUCCAUAUUUUAUGUUUAGUUACAUGUCGGUGUAAGCAUACAGCUAGUAUGGCGAUAGUGGGUGGUCUUGAUGACAAAAGUAGCCUAGGCUACACUGUUGUGAGAAUUUCUGUCUGGAUUGCAAGCUAAUGCAUUGUACAUCAAAAUGCCCAACUCUCCAGAGUCGUGACAUCCCGCAAAGGGGAGGAAUGUUCUCUCAAUAAUUCUGUUCGAGUUGUAUGGUUCACAGAUGUACAGUGCGAUGGAAUAAAGUGUUAGACAUUCAA